AACGUAAUUAGGGGCCUAAAGCGAAAUUUUAAUUUGAGGCCUAAAAUAUAAACAAACUUCAUAUACGUAUUUAUUCAAAAUUUAUUUUUCUUACACUAUUUAAAUGAAAAUUAUUAGUAUUUAAUAUUAUUUUUUCAGUUAUUAGUUUUAAGUAAGAUUUUAUCAACUCAACAUUGAAAAAUAUCCUCUCAGCGAGGCAAUUAUUAUAUGAAUUAUUAACAUAAUUCUAUAAGUAAUAAGUUAGACAAAUAUUAAAUAAAGAUAAGAAUUAGAAUCAUAGAAUUUGACUCAAGAAGUUGAUGACUUGGUAUACCUCAUUUUAAUAUGCUUGUAGAAAUGCUUGAAACUAAAAUUUAAAACGAAAUAAAAAAGAAUUUGUAAUUCACUUUGUUCAACACUUUUCACUAUUAAUUCUUAUUUUUAACAAAGUACAAAAAUAUUAAAGUGGAUAAAAUAAUAUAUAUUUUUUAAAAAUAUACUUUUUAUCAUAAAUAAUCAAUUUUUUCUUUAAAAUUUUUAACACAUAAUUUAUUUUUGACAAAAAUUUGAGGCCCUCAAAAUUUUGGGGCCUAAGGCAAAAGCCUUAUUUUCCCAAGUAUAGAGCCGGCCCUG
rnacentral:lncRNA from 1 species